rnacentral:rRNA from 1 species
CGGCGGACGGGUGAGUAACGCGCGGGUAACCUGCCUCAUACAGGGGGAUAACAGUUAGAAAUGACUGCUAAUACCGCAUAAGACCACAGCACCGCAUGGUGCGGGGGUAAAAACUCCGGUGGUAUGAGAUGGACCCGCGUCUGAUUAGCUAGUUGGUAAGGUAACGGCUUACCAAGGCGACGAUCAGUAGCCGACCUGAGAGGGUGACCGGCCACAUUGGGACUGAGACACGGCCCAA